rnacentral:rRNA from 1 species
UGGGGAAUUUUGGACAAUGGGGGCAACCCUGAUCCAGCCAUCCCGCGUGUGCGAUGAAGGCCUUCGGGUUGUAAAGCACUUUUGGCAGGAAAGAAACGUCAUGGGUUAAUACCCCGUGAAACUGACGGUACCUGCAGAAUAAGCACCGGCUAACUACGUGCCAGCAGCCGCGGUAAUACGUAGGGUGCAAGCGUUAAUCGGAAUUACUGGGCGUAAAGCGUGCGCAGGCGGUUCGGAAAGAAAGAUGUGAAAUCCCAGAGCUCAACUUUGGAACUGCAUUUUUAACUACAGGGCUAGAGUGUGUCAGAGGGAGGUGGAAUUCCACGUGUAGCAGUGAAAUGCGUAGAUAUGAGGAGGAACACCGAUGGCGAAGGCAGCCUCCUGGGAUAACACUGACGCUCAUGCACGAAAGCGUGGGGAGCAAACAGG